UUCCCGUGUUGACAUUGAGUUAUAUCAACACGGCUCUUAGCCAAUCAGCGUUCAGAAUUUACAAAUGCUGAUUGGCUAAGAGCCGUGUUGAUAUAACUCAAUGUCAACACGGGA